UACGAAAUGUUGUUUUAUAAAAUACCAGUUCCGUUUAGUCCUCAACAUCCAGAAACUUCAAAGAAGAAACCAUCACCCGGGAAUCACCGGCCAAGUCCUGCUUCUGCACCUCCUGUGUUUCCAAGCGAGGCGCCACCAAGCCCCCCUCCGCCUUUGCGGUCAGCACCAAGCCCACCACCGCCUUCGCGAUCUGACCACAUGUAUGUCCACCACCCUUGACAGGAUCCGCGGAGAAUAAACUACACCAGUAAUAUGUAACCUUUCUAUACAUAGGAUUUGAUUUCUUGUAAACUUUUGAUUAAACUUUAAGAAGCCGUCUUCUUGAUUGAAUAAUGAUGUUUAAAUUUUGUCAUCAAAUAUAUAUACAAUUUAAAUUUAUAAUUUCUUG
rnacentral:lncRNA from 1 species